CACAGGUUGUGAACUCGAAGAGUAGGGCGGGACACGUGGUAUCCUGUCUGAAUAUGGGGGGACCAUCCUCCAAGGCUAAAUACUCCUGACUGACCGAUAGUGAACCAGUACCGUGAGGGAAAGGCGAAAAGAACCCCGGCGAGGGGAGUGAAAAAGAACCUGAAACCGUGUACGUACAAGCAGUAGGAGCCCACUAGUUGGGUGACUGCGUACCUUUUGUAUAAUGGGUCAGCGACUUAUAUUCUGUAGCAAGGUUAACCGUAUAGGGGAGCCGCAGGGAAACCGAGUCUUAACUGGGCGUUAAGUUGCAGGGUAUAGACCCGAAACCCGGUGAUCUAGCCAUGGGCAGGUUGAAGGUUGGGUAACACUAACUGGAGGACCGAACCGACUAAUGUUGAAAAAUUAGCGGAUGACUUGUGGCUGGGGGUGAAAGGCCAAUCAAACCGGGAGAUAGCUGGUUCUCCCCGAAAGCUAUUUAGGUAGCGCCUCGUGAACUCAUCUUCGGGGGUAGAGCACUGUUUCGGCUAGGGGGUCAUCCCGACUUACCAACCCGAUGCAAACUACGAAUACCGAAGAAUGUUAUCACGGGAGACACACGGCGGGUGCUAACGUCCGUCGUGAAGAGGGAAACAACCCAGACCGCCAGCUAAGGUCCCAAAGUCAUGGUUAAGUGGGAAACGAUGUGGGAAGGCCCAGACAGCCAGGAUGUUGGCUUAGAAGCAGCCAUCAUUUAAAGAAAGCGUAAUAGCUCACUGGUCGAGUCGGCCUGCGCGGAAGAUGUAACGGGGCUAAACCAUGCACCGAAGCUGCGGCAGCGACGCUUAUGCGUUGUUGGGUAGGGGAGCGUUCUGUAAGCCGUUGAAGGUGGCCUGUGAGGGUUGCUGGAGGUAUCAGAAGUGCGAAUGCUGACAUAAGUAACGAUAAUGCGGGUGAAAAACCCGCACGCCGGAAGACCAAGGGUUCCUGUCCAACGUUAAUCGGGGCAGGGUGAGUCGACCCCUAAGGCGAGGCCGAAAGGCGUAGUCGAUGGGAAACAGGUUAAUAUUCCUGUACUCGGUGUUACUGCGAAGGGGGGACGGAGAAGGCUAUGUUGGCCGGGCGACGGUUGUCCCGGUUUAAGCAUGUAGGCGGAUGUUCCAGGUAAAUCCGGAACGUUACUAACGCUGAGGUGUGAUGACGAGGCACUACGGUGCUGAAGUGACAAAUGCCCUGCUUCCAGGAAAAGCCUCUAAGCAUCAGGUAACAUCAAAUCGUACCCCAAACCGACACAGGUGGUCAGGUAGAGAAUACCAAGGCGCUUGAGAGAACUCGGGUGAAGGAACUAGGCAAAAUGGUGCCGUAACUUCGGGAGAAGGCACGCUGAUGGUAGGUGAAGUGACUUGCUCAUGGAGCUGAAAUCAGUCGAAGAUACCAGCUGGCUGCAACUGUUUAUUAAAAACACAGCAC
rnacentral:rRNA from 1 species